rnacentral:rRNA from 1 species
AUGCGGUGGAACCUCAUCCUUCCGCUGGUGCUGGAUGUGAAGCACAACGACAGCUGGAUGUGGAGCGCGCCGAGCUCCAUCUCCUCAACAGUGAACUCGAACCGGCACACCUCGAGGAUCCUCGGCGGCGCCGCCAUGGGAGAACGAGCACGGGAGCGGCAGCGGCGACUGAGGGGUAGGAUGAGGCAGCCAUGGCGGCCCGGUGGCGGGGGCGAGGUGCCGAAGAUCCUAGAUCUUCUCAACCGUGCUGAUCCCUCCGAUGGGCGGUCGCCUGAGCUCCUCGCCGCCGCCAAGAUGCGGAAGCGCGACCUCGUCAUCGUCCUCCUCCCGCCUUCACCGUCUUCUUCUCACUCCAGGUCAGCCCUCCUCCUCCUCCUCCUCCUCCCCCCCUCUUCGAUUCGAUCCGGAACCCUAGCUGACCCACCCCCUCCUCCUCCGGCAGCACAAGGGCGACUUAUCGUUCCAGGAGGCAUGGUACCACCUGUCGUACGACGGGUUCCCGAUCAAGCACGUCGUGGACCGUCUCCCGCCGCUGACCUCAAUGGCGACGGCUGCCGCAAGGUGCUGCUCCCCACGCAUGAUGCCAAGAUCCAGGUCCUCCAGCUCCCGGCCCACACCGGGCUGGCCUCCGCGGCCGACCUUGACGGCUUCCACGAGGCGGGCGUCAUGGCCGAGAUCUCCUUGCACGAUUGA